UACGUAGGGGGCAAGCGUUGUCCGGAAUCAUUGGGCGUAAAGAGCUCGUAGGCGGUCUGUUGCGUCCGCUGUGAAAAUCCGGGGCUCAACCCCGGACCUGCAUCCGAUACUGCGUGACUAGAGGUAGGUAGGGGAGAUCGGAAUUCCUGGUGUAGCGGUGAAAUGCGCAGAUAUCAGGAGGAACACCGGUGGCGAAGGCGGAUCUCUGGGCCUUACCUGACGCUCAGGCGCGAAAGCUAGGGGAGCGAACAGG
rnacentral:rRNA from 1 species